GCGGGAGUGGUGGAAUUGGUAGACACGCUGGAUUUAGGUUCCAGUGCUGUAAGGCGUGAGAGUUCGAGUCUCUCCUUCCGCA
rnacentral:tRNA from 1 species